rnacentral:rRNA from 1 species
UACAGAGGUCCCAAGCGUUAUUCGGAAUCACUGGGCUUAAAGGGUGCGUAGGCGGCGCGGAAAGUUGGGUGUGAAAUCCCUCGGCUCAACCGAGGAACUGCGCCCAAAACUACCGUGCUCGAGGGAGAUAGAGGUGAGCGGAACUUAGGGUGGAGCGGUGAAAUGCGUUGAUAUCCUAAGGAACACCGGUGGCGAAAGCGGCUCACUGGAUCUCUUCUGACGCUGAGGCACGAAAGCUAGGGUAGCGAACGGG